GACGAACGCUGGCGGCAUGCUUAACACAUGCAAGUCGAACGAAACGUCCCUGCUUUUUUGCGGUGCUCUGCUUGCGGCCGGGUAACUAACACGUAGGUUACCUAUCCUUCCCUUUGGGAUAAGUUCAGGCCGCUUGGGGUCAUACCGCCUAGGAUCUCCUGCUGCUUGGUGGGGGUUGGAUAGUUUCGGCGGUUGGGAAUGGACUCGCCGCUUAUCAGCUUGUUGGUGGGGUAGUGGCUGACCAAGGCUUUCACGGGUAGCCGGCCUGAGAGGGUGACCGGCCACAUUGGGACUGAGAUACGGCCCAGACUCCUACGGGAGGCAGCAGUGGGGAAUAUUGCACAAUGGGCGGAAGCCUGAUGCAGCAACGCCGCGUGCGGGAUGACGGCCUUCGGGUUGUAAACCGCUUUCGCCUGUGACGAAGCGUGAGUGACGGUAAUGGGUAAAGAAGCACCGGCUAACUACGUG
rnacentral:rRNA from 1 species